rnacentral:lncRNA from 2 species
AGGGAACUUCUUUAUGUGAUACAAUGGAAAGAGUUGAUUCUACAUCAGAAAUUUCAGGUGACAAUCUUCCAGUUAACCUUUCACAUUGCUCGGAAAAGAAAGGGGGCUAGGGUUUGGGAGCAUAUCGAGUCAUAUUUUAUUGAUGGAAAAGAAAAGGCAAUCUAUAAAUAUUGCAAGCUGAAAUUAUCUUCAGAACCUGGCCAAGGAACAAACCAUCUCAGUAGGCAUAUUGGAAUAUUACAUAUCCACAUUACACCUUAUGUUGUGCAAGAUGGACUUACCUCUUUCUGA